rnacentral:rRNA from 1 species
AUGUUGUUUUCAUUGCAAAAUGAUGGGUCUCCUUCCAGAACUUUCCAAUUACGAGUACGAGAAUUGAAAGACAUGAAAAUUCUCAAUUCUCUACGGCGUCUAGGGGAAAGGCGUCUAGUAGAUAGAAACAAGAAAAUCAGAAGAAUCUUUCUCUCUAUUCACUAUCAUUCCGCGUCUUCGACUUCUAUUAGUUUCUUUUCUUCUUUAAUGCAAUAG